rnacentral:rRNA from 1 species
GUGGGGAAUAUUGGACAAUGGGCGAAAGCCUGAUCCAGCCAUGCCGCGUGUGUGAAGAAGGUCUUCGGGUUGUAAAGCUCUUUUAGUCGGAAAGAAAGAGUUGCAAUGAAUAAUUGUGAUUUAUGACGGUACCGACAGAAAAAGCACCGGCUAACUACGUGCCAGCAGCCGCGGUAAUACGUAGGGUGCGAGCGUUAAUCGGAAUUACUGGGCGUAAAGGGUGCGCAGGCGGUCUUGCAAGUCAGAUGUGAAAGCCCCGGGCUUAACCUGGGAAUUGCGUUUGAAACUACAAGACUAGAGUGCAGCAGAGGGGAGUGGAAUUCCAUGUGUAGCAGUGAAAUGCGUAGAGGUGUGGAAGAACACCGAUGGCGAAGGCAGCUCCCUGGGUUGACACUGACGCUCAUGCACGAAAGCGUGGGGAGCAAACAGGAUUAGAAACCCGGGUAGUCC